UGUUGCGAUGAGACAGAAUUUGGAUUACUUAAGCCACGCGUACAGAAACUUUUUAGAAUGAAAGAGUUUGUUCGUUUGGCUCGAGUUAUGCCGGUUCUAAAUUGCAGCA
rnacentral:ncRNA from 2 species